AGGAAAAGAAACUAACAAGGAUUCCCCUAGUAACGGCGAGUGAAGAGGGAAGAGCCCAAGAUUGAAAGCUGGCGUCUUCGGCGUCCGCAUUGUAAUCUCAAGAAGUGUUUUCCGCUUCGGACCAUGCCUAAGUCCCUUGGAAAAGGGCAUCAUAGAGGGUGAUAAUCCCGUACAUGGCAUGGAGCGCCCGAAGCUUUGUGAUACGCUUUCUAAGAGUCGAGUUGUUUGGGAAUGCAGCUCAAAAUGGGUGGUAAAUGCCAUCUAAGGCUAAAUAUUGGGGAGAGACCGAUAGCGAACAAGUACAGUGAUGGAAAGAUGAAAAGAACUUUGAAAAGAGAGUUAAAAAGUACGUGAAAUUGCCAAAAGGGAAGGGUAGGAGGUCAGAGAUGCGUCUUGGGAUUCAGCCUUGCUUUUUGCAUGGUGUUUUUCCCAAGUUGCAGGCCAACGUCGGUUUUGGGCACUGGAGAAGGGUGGAAGGAACGUGGCACCUCUCGGGGUGUGUUAUAGCCUUCUACUGGAUACAGCGACCGAGACCGAGGACAGCAGCGUACUCGCAAGAGCGGGCCUUCGGGCACCUUUACGCUUAGGGCGUUGGCAUAAUGGCCCUCUACCACCCGUCUUGAAACACGGACCAA
rnacentral:rRNA from 1 species